rnacentral:rRNA from 1 species
UACGUAGGCAGCGAGCGUUGUUCGGAGUUACUGGGCGUAAAGGGUGUGUAGGCGGUUUUCUAAGUUUGGUGUGAAAUCUCCCGGCUCAACCGGGAGGGUGCGCCGAAAACUGGGAGACUAGAGUGCGGGAUGGGAGAGUAGAAUUCCUGGUGUAGCGGUGGAAUGCGUAGAUAUCAGGAGGAAUACCGGUGGUGUAGACGGCUCUCUGGACCGCCACUGACGCUGAGACACGAAAGCGUGGGUAGCAAACAGG